AUUUAAUCGUCUCUUUGUGCCAAAUUCGUUCUCAUUUUUCUACUGCUCUUGAUGUUCAGCCCACAAGAGCUUACAGGUGAAGGAAUGGGACAAGACCCAUCUUUAUGCAAAGCCAGCGUUACAGUAAUGUUCCAGGUAUUUCUGAUGACAGUCUGCCUCUAUCUUACAGAGCAGCUUGUUGCUAUAUACCAUUGAAAAGCCUUCAGAGCUAAGAGGUACUACUAACCAAUAACCUGCUUGGCUCAAAGGGCCAGCACCUUCUCUCUAAAGCCCAAGAGGAGUUUGAGGAAAACUAGGUGUCUCUGUUCACUCCAGGCUGAAGUUACAGGUUUGAGGAAAGGUGUAUAAAAAAUGGAAUCUGUCUUGGAGGACAUCAGAAGUUGAAUUUUCCAAGUCCUUGGACAACCUAGCUGUUGAAAAGCUUUCUGGAUUUGGGGGGUCUUUCAGAUGUACCUUAAAGUGUUAGCAGACACAGAUUAAGACACUGGGAGCCAAUGAAACAUAGCAGUUGAGGGUUUGCUAUGUAUCACAUUUCUGUAUUUUAUCACCUCCUUCCUGCAACAUUAUUUCUGUGGAAUCUACCUGCCCUUUUGUUUUUUAGAUACAAGGGCUUGGUUUUGUUACCAAGGCUGGUUUCAAGGCCCUAGCUUUAAGAGAUCCUCCCACCACAGAUUUCCAAAGUGCUGGGAUUGCAGGUAUGAUUAGUGGCACCCAGACUUUGCUGCCUUUCUUACAUGAUCAAGGCCCGGAACCCAAACUCAGGCACUGCAUAGAUGACCA
rnacentral:lncRNA from 1 species